rnacentral:snRNA from 1 species
ACCACUCCUCACCCUUUUGGCUAAGAUCAAGUGUAAUAUCUGUUCUUAUCAGUUUAAGAUCUGAUGUGUCCUCUAUCUGAGGACAAUAUAUUAAAUGGAUUUUUGGAAUUAGGAGAUGUAAUAAUAGCUUGCUCUGCCCACUUCACAUACCAAUCUGGUGUUUCAGUACUUCCAGAAAUGGUGCACUCCCU